rnacentral:rRNA from 1 species
GCCUACGGGGGGCAGCAGUGGGGAAUAUUGGGCAAUGGGCGCAAGCCUGACCCAGCAACGCCGCGUGAAGGAAGAAGGCUUUCGGGUUGUAAACUUCUUUUCUGGGGGACGAACAAAUGACGGUACCCCAGGAAUAAGCCACGGCUAACUACGUGCCAGCAGCCGCGGUAAUACGUAGGUGGCAAGCGUUAUCCGGAUUUAUUGGGGGUAAAGGGCGUGUAGGCGGGAAUGCAAGCCCGAUGUGAAAACUAUGGGCUCAACCCAUAACCUGCAUUUGAAACU